AAAAUAAAUGUUGUGCUGGGCGCGUUUUACUUCAUUACGGUAAAUUGAGUUUUUUAACACUAACCUGUUUCUUUCAGAAAAUCUCUUUUUGAGGAUAGUCGGUUGCUCACGGCAAUGAUUUAAAUAUUACAAGGUCAAUGGGCGAAGGAGCAAUAAACCCUGCAACCUCGGACGAGGAGAGUGAAAAGCAGGACAUCUUGCUCAAGUUUGAAGCCUUGAAAUCACAGCUGAAAGAGUUGCUCGAUAAAAAUGAAACUCUCUCGGAGCAAGAGCAGCUGCCAAUAUCGGAGUUUGACUUGGAUAGUAAAAACACAGAAAAGCUUUACAAGAAGUCCGCCGAGGAGCGCGAAAAGACCCAGGUGGACUACAAAACUAAAAUCAGCAAAUGGGAUAGAAUGAAAGACGUCAUAAUUGAAAAAUGCUGGGACGUCAUGGAGUUCAAAGGAAAGUGUCUGAAAGCAAUAGGGAACUCUUUCUUGGUUGAAAAUUUCGCUCUACCUUACACGGAUCCUGAGGCUAUCGCGAAGCUGAAACAUUCUGUUCAGAUAAGAGAGCUGGAUUUUUCAAUUUCAAAGGAUCAAAGUACAAAACCGUGGGCUCACGUUACCAAAAGAAAAGACAAUUUUGGAAGAGCAGUCUCAAAAUCGCAAGGCAAAUCGUUGAAAGUUCCAAAAACUUUUGAGGACGAGCUCGACAUUCUAGCCCCACCAAGUCAUGGUCUUCCUGGAGUCUUUCAAGAAUUCCGCGGUUGUUCCCAACUUCAAUUGAACAGUUUCUUGGCCGCCGCAAGGGAAUUCCCUUCCCUCAUGGAAGCUACUGUUCAACUGCGAAAGAAUUUCAACGCGCGUUUUGAUGAAAUGUUUGCCCUCAAGGAGAAGGAGCUACAAGAGAUGUCAGAGAAGCAUGAACGGCUGAGAACUAUCCAGUAUGAAAGAGCGGCUUCUUGUAAAAGUAGGAAUAAUACGUCAUCCUAUAUUGUAGCCUUUUCAUUUUUUGAUAAUUCACGGAAAAAGGGACUUAAGAAACGAAGAGGAGAGUUUCCUCUCCGGAGUUAAAACUCUCCUUUGCGGAGACGGAACUUUCCUC
rnacentral:lncRNA from 1 species